GCCGCGCAGCCCGCUCCAAAGCUCCCGCUCCCACAGGAUGUGCUCUGGGUAACAUGCCAGACGGAGGCCACUGCUGUAUGACUUCCACCCAGGCCAGUUCUACUGCUGCAUGGGACUAACAGUCCAGGCCUCCUAGGGCCUUCCUGAGACUUCUCUCUCUCCAUCAACCCAACUUAUAGAACAAUAGCAGAGUCUGUCUACUCAACCGACCAGAAAUAUGACCUUAGAAGAGGUAAUCGGCCUUAUGUCUGCCGCCCGCCCACCUGCUUUGCCGCUAAAUCUUGCUAUGACAGCCAGGAGAGGAGAUGAAAGGGGGUGGUGAUGUCUCUACUGCCCCCCAGAGGAUGGUUCACAGACUGGUAGGGGAAAACAACAUCUUCAAGGCAACUCUUCUUCAAACGCAUCUCUUGUGAUUAUGCACAAGCCAGUAUCAUGAUAUGCUAUGGAAAUUUGCUCAUACUGAGAAAAGUGCAUGUGUUCAUUUGGGUUUUAUGGGUAUUGAAUAUAGGUUUAUCAUUAGUGAUCUAAAAAGCGCUGAAUGGAAAAUAAUUAAACAAAGCUCCAUUUCAUAAAAAUAAAAGCAAUUAAUUUAGGGACUGUUCUGUUCCUAACAACAUUAUUACUACAGUAAUUACAGUGUUACUACACAUAUUGGAUUCAGUGCGAAUUUCUGAAUGCCUGAAAUGUGUUCCUUUAUUCGUUUUUGAUAACACCAGCAGUGCGCCAAACAUUUUGGCUGAUUUUGCAGUCUCCUCUCCUCUGGCAUAGAUCAACCUGUAAUGUCCUUCCUAGAUCUCAGUCAAGGGAAUCAUCAUUCUGAACAUAAAAUAUCCUCAUACCCUUUGCCAUAAAUUGUGGUGUAGAAAGAGAAGUGGUGGUAGUGAAGGGAUGUAAUGCAGCUAGAUAGAGGAAAUAAAAUCACUGAAACAAAAGACGGGACUAACGACGGUCAACCGGCUCCUUUUCAUUUCACGUUGUACAAGUUUGUCACUAUGGUUUAUGGACAGCCGUUUCACCUCUCAGCAGCCGUAGUUUGGGAUUAUUAAAUAGCCUCUUAAAGGCUCACAGCUGUGAAUGCUCUAUGGCUUGUGGCAGACUAUCGCCGUUGGUAUUUUGAUAUGAAGAGACAUCCUCUAAUAUAUGGCAUAGGUGCCGUGUUUCAUCUUGCCUAUAGCCCCCCGCCAUACAACACGAUCGACCACCAAGCGCAACAAAAUGAUUUAUAUUUUCCUGAGCUGUCUCUGACGAAAGCUUUCCAUCUUAUUGUAUUAUAACUUAACAUGGUUAUUAUUGAAGACAGACCAAGUGUAAAUCUAAGCCUCACAUAAAUAUCUUGUCAGUAUAACUAUUUUGAUGAAUGGAAUCCAAACACUAAGAACAUUUAUUUUAUUGUAUUUCUUGAACCUUCAUUUUAACAGUGUGACAUGCUGAGACCAAGGUCUCUUUUACAGAUGAGCCCUGUAUACACUCCAAUACACAUCAAAACACAUCAA